rnacentral:rRNA from 1 species
GGGGAAUCUUGGGCAAUGGGCGAAAGCCUGACCCAGCAAUACCGCGUGAGGGAUGAAGGCCUUCGGGUCGUAAACCUCUGUCAGCAGGAACGAUGGGUCUCCGUGCUAAUACCACGGAGACUUGACGGUACCUGCCAAGGCAGCCCCGGCUAACUCCGUGCCAGCAGCCGCGGUAAUACGGAGGGCGCAAGCGUUGUUCGGAAUCACUGGGCGUAAAGCGCGUGUAGGCGGCUUGGUAAGUCGGAUGUGAAAUCCCGGGGCUCAACCCCGGAACUGCAUCCGAAACUGCCUCGCUCGAGUCCCGGAGAGGAUGGCGGAAUUUCCGGUGUAGAGGUGAAAUUCGUAGAUAUCGGAAGGAACACCAGUGGCGAAGGCGGCCAUCUGGACGGUGACUGACGCUGAGACGCGAAAGCGUGGGGAGCAAA